rnacentral:rRNA from 1 species
GUAGGGAAUAUUGGGCAAUGGAGGCAACUCUGACCCAGCCAUGCCGCGUGCAGGAUGACGGCCCUCUGGGUUGUAAACUGCUUUUAUACGGGAAGAAAAAAUACUACGUGUAGUAUACUGACGGUACCGUAAGAAUAAGGAUCGGCUAACUCCGUGCCAGCAGCCGCGGUAAUACGGAGGAUCCAAGCGUUGUCCGGAUUUAUUGGGUUUAAAGGGUGCGUAGGCGGAUCUUUAAGUGAGUGGUGAAAGCCUGCAGCUUAACUGUAGAAUUGCCAUUGAAACUGAAGAUCUUGAAUGUGGUUAAAGUAGGCGGAAUGUAUCAUGUAGCGGUGAAAUGCUUAGAUAUGAUACAGAACACCGAUAGCGAAGGCAGCUUGCUGAACCAUUAUUGACGCUGAGGCACGAAAGCGUGGGGAGCGAACAGGAUUAGAAACCCGGGUAGUCC